rnacentral:rRNA from 1 species
CAGAGACUGCAAGCGUUAUUCGGAUUCACUGGGCGUAAAGGGUGCGCAGGCGGCCGUGUGUGUGAGGCGUGAAAGCCUGGAGCUUAACUCCAGAAUUGCACCUCAAACUACAUGGCUAGAGCAUUGGAGAGGGUAGCAGAAUUCAUGGUGUAGCAGUGAAAUGCGUAGAUAUCAUGAGGAAUACCAGAGGCGAAGGCGGCUACCUGGACAAUUGCUGACGCUCAGGCACGAAAGCGUGGGGAGCAAAAGGGAUUAGAUACCCCUGUAGUCCACGCCCUAAACGGUGCACACUAGGUCUUGGCGGAUUCGACCCCACCAGGGCCCAAGCUAACGCGUUAAGUGUGCCGCCUGAGGACUACGGCCGCAAGGCUA